UUCGUGUGAACAGUGGUUGAUCACGAGUUAGUCGGUCCUAAGUUCAAGGCGAAAGCCGAAAAUUUUCAAGUAAAAAAUGACUAUCAAUAUAUAUUUGUAAUUUUAUAAAACACUUGAAUAAUUUUGAACGAAAGGGAAUACGGUUCCAAUUCCGUAACCUGUUGAGUAUCCGUUUGUUAUUAAAUAUGGGCCUCGUGCUCAUCCUGGCAACAGGAACGACCAUAAAGAAGCCGUCGAGAGAUAUCGGAAGAGUUUUCUUUUCUGUUUUAUAGCCGUACUACCAUGGAAGUCUUUCGCAGAGAGAUAUGGUAGAUGGGCUAGAAGAGCAUGACAUAUACUGUUGUGUCGAUAUUUUCUCCUCGGACCUUGAAAAUUUAUGGUGGGGAUACGCAAACUUCUCAACAGGCCGUACCAAUAUCCGCAGCUGGUCUCCAAGGUGAAGAGUCUCUAGUCGAUAGAAUA
rnacentral:rRNA from 1 species